rnacentral:tRNA from 2 species
GCCCGGAUGGCGGAAUUGGUAGACGCGCUAGCUUCAGGUGCUAGUAUCCUUACGGAUGUGGAGGUUCAAGUCCUCUUCCGGGCACCA